UACUAGGGUCAAAAAGACAGAAAGCCGAUGUAGGCUCGCUUGCAAGAGGUUUUCUGCCUUCUUGACCCGCCAGAAACAUGAGUAAGCAGCCAUUUUCAAAGAAAAUGCGCGGAUUACGAAUGUUUCUGAGGAUUGCGGAGUGCCACUGCACGCAGCAAUCCGGUA
rnacentral:sRNA from 1 species